UAUAGAGUGGCGAACGGCUGAGUAACACGUGGGCAACCUGCCCUUUGCAUCGGGACAGCCUCGGGAAACCGUGGUUAAUACCGGAUACUCCAUCUUUCUCACAUGAAAAAGAUGGGAAAGUGUUUAGCGGCAAGGGAUGGGCCCGCGCCCUGUUAGCUUGUUGGUGGGGUAAAAGCCUACCAAGGCAAUGAUGGGUAGCCGGGUUGAGAGACCGACCGGCCAGAUUGGGACUGAGACACGGCCCAGACUCC
rnacentral:rRNA from 1 species